AUUGAACGCUGGCGGCAUGCCUUACACAUGCAAGUCGAACGGUAACGGGCCUUCGGGUGCCGACGAGUGGCGAACGGGUGAGUAAUGCAUCGGAACGUACCUUUCAGUGGGGGAUAACGUAGCGAAAGUUACGCUAAUACCGCAUAUUCUGUGAGCAGGAAAGCAGGGGAUCGCAAGACCUUGCGCUGAUUGAGCGGCCGAUGUCAGAUUAGCUAGUUGGUGAGGUAAAGGCUCACCAAGGCGACGAUCUGUAGCGGGUCUGAGAGGAUGAUCCGCCACACUGGAACUGAGACACGGUCCAGACUCCUACGGGAGGCAGCAGUGGGGAAUUUUGGACAAUGGGGGCAACCCUGAUCCAGCCAUGCCGCGUGAGUGAAGAAGGCCUUCGGGUUGUAAAGCUCUUUCGGCCGGGAAGAAAUCGUAAUGGGCGUAAUACCCUGUGCGGAUGACGGUACCGGCAUAAGAAGCACCGGCUAACUACGUGCCAGCAGCCGAC
rnacentral:rRNA from 1 species